rnacentral:rRNA from 1 species
GAUGAACGCUGGCGGCGUGCCUAAUACAUGCAAGUCGAGCGAACGGACUAGAAGCUUGCUUUUCUGAUGUUAGCGGCGGACGGGUGAGUAACACGUUGAUAACCUACCUAUAAGACUGGGAUAACUUCGGGAAACCGGAGCUAAUACCGGAUAAUAUUUUGAACCUCAUGGUUCAAAAGUGAAAGACGGUCUUGCUGUCACUUAUAGAUGGAUCCGCGCUGCAUUAGCUAGUUGGUAAGGUAACGGCUUACCAAGGCAACGAUGCAUAGCCGACCUGAGAGGGUGAUCGGCCACACUGGAACUGAGACACGGUCCAGACUCCUACGGGAGGCAGCAGUAGGGAAUCUUCCGCAAUGGGCGAAAGCCUGACGGAGCAACGCCGCGUGAGUGAUGAAGGUCUUCGGAUCGUAAAACUCUGUUAUUAGGGAAGAACAUAUGUGUAAGUAACUGUGCACAUCUUGACGGUACCUAAUCAGAAAGCCACGGCUAACUACGUG